AUAAAACGCAACGGUUAGUGGUUGCUUUUCUAAACCCUAAUUCUAAUAGUACCCUAGUUUCAGUGACAAGGGGUUUAUGUUAUGGUUCUGCACGAUCAACAAUUUGGGAUCGGCAGGAAAUUGAAGAUUCGGAAUACAAACUGCUCUCUGCAACCUUUGGUUGGUCGUGCCUUUGGUACGGAUUUUCAACUGGAUACCGCUCCCGACGGGCCUUGUCCUUCUCCCGCACAAGUUAAUGUUAAUAAUGAUGAGGAAACAGGAGAUGGACAUGGGAAUGGUGAGUUGAGGGACAGAGUUAAUAUUAAUAGUGCUGAUGAAGUAAGAUGGUGCAGUGAAUAUUAAGUCAAGGGACAAUCCUGCAUUGGUUGACAAUAAUACUGCACAAAGUCUGACUGGUGAAGAUAUAGAAGCCAUGAGAAGUCGUACGCAGAUGACGAAAAAAAUAGACAGGGACAUCAGUACUCCAAAGGAGAAUGUUGACUGUCUAAUGGGAAUCUCUCUGAUGCGUUUCGAGUUCCAUUAUACAAUUGCAGUUGACGAUAACGCAGACAGGGACAUUGGUACUUAUGCUAAGGAUGGUGGUUUGUCUUUGGGACUCUCUCCGAUGCAUAAUGAAUUGUCAUGGUUGAUUGUUAGCCAAGUUAACUUUUGUUGAUCCAAUGUGUUCUAAAAUUAAUAUUUAUAACUUUUAUUAACUGAUGAGGAAUUUUAUCAAACAUUUAAUUUUGUAUAACCCCAUCUUGGGGUAGCGUGCUCUAAAUGUUGUGUUGGUAAGUGUAUGUGUAAUAUUGAUAAUUGAUGCUUCUAGUAUUGGUUUGGCCAAUGUUGUAUCAUUUUGCACGUAUUGUCAGAUCUGUUUAUGAUGAUAUCUUAAUUGUCACUACCUCUGAGGCCA